UAUUUAUUCAUUAUUUAUUUAUUUAUUUAUUAUAUUGGUUUAGGCAAUUUCAGAGGACAACAUAACUCUUCAUGCAUAACUGAGAUUUCUAGGGGUUUGGGUAUUUAAGCAAAGAAAUAGAAGAGCAGGAAUUCUGACUUGACUGUAUUUGUCUUGACUAUGAAACAGUGAAGAGGAAAUCCUCCAACAGAACAAAGGUGUAGUCUGUCAGGGUCUAAGCAACACAUAUUCUUUGCCAUCUUUCCAUUUACACCAUCUGCAGUGGAGAUUCUCACAGAUCUCUAGCAAAGUAGAUAUUCUGGAAUUCUCAUUACAGUGCUUGUUUUAGAAUAGUGCUUUUAAUGAGCGUGAGACUAGAAAAGCACUCAGUGGUAAUUUAGAAAUAUAUUGUGUAUCUGUUCACACAAUCCCUUCCUUUCUUUCACGGUCCUUAGGAAUCCAUGCCUGAGAGGGAUUUGAAAGGAUGCCUCUUCUAUCAGAAGGAAAUUAGAAAUGCUAAAGAUGCUUUCAACUUAAAUAUUUUCUCAUCCAUCUGCUCAGUGUUGUCCCUUGUGCAAUUUCUUGCUCACCAGUGGCCUUACAGCAGAGAACCAGCAGCUUCCUGCCAAGCACUGGACUUAAUUUUAAUGUCAGUAUCUCCCAGGUCCAUUUUCUUUUCCACUGAAG
rnacentral:lncRNA from 1 species